UACGGAGGGGACUAGCGUUGUUCGGAAUUACUGGGCGUAAAGCGCACGUAGGCGGAUUUGUAAGUCAGGGGUGAAAUCCCGGGGCUCAACCCCGGAACUGCCUUUGAUACUGCAAAUCUCGAGUCCGGAAGAGGUGAGUGGAAUUCCUAGUGUAGAGGUGAAAUUCGUAGAUAUUAGGAAGAACACCAGUGGCGAAGGCGGCUCACUGGCCCGGUACUGACGCUGAGGUGCGAAAGCGUGGGGAGCAAACAGG
rnacentral:rRNA from 1 species